rnacentral:rRNA from 1 species
GAGUUUGAUCGUGGCUCAGAUUGAACGCUGGCGGCAUGCUUUACACAUGCAAGUCGAGCGGCAGCGCGGGGGGCAACCCUGGCGGCGAGCGGCGAACGGGUGAGUAAUAGAUAGGAACGUGUCCGGGAGUGGGGGAUAACUAGCCGAAAGGUUAGCUAAUACCGCAUAUUCUCUACGGAGGAAAGCGGGGGAUCGCAAGACCUCGCGCUCGCGGAGUGGCCUAUCUCCGAUUAGCUGGUUGGUGAGGUAAAGGCUUACCAAGGCGACGAUCGGUAGCUGGUCUGAGAGGAUGAUCAGCCACACUGGGACUGAGACACGGCCCAGACUCCUACGGGAGGCAGCAGUGGGGAAUUUUGGACAAUGGGGGCAACCCGUGAUCCAGCCAUGCCGCGUGCGGGAAGAAGGCCUU